CAGGAAGCAAUGAAUCUGGUGGGUUCCCUGAGAAUCAGGGAUAGAGGAUGCAAACUCCUACCUCUGAGUACUAUUUCUGUAGAGCAGUGAUGAGCCAAGUCCUUUGUGAAACACCUGCUUAUUUCCAAAGCUAGACCCUAUUUCCUUGCCCCCCUGGCUGAGUAAUAGUGUAGUGGAUCUGUGUGCUCUCCACAGGUUUUUUGUUCUGCAGGGUUCUUGCACUAAGGAGCAAGAAUUCUUUGAGGUUUUCCUUCUAGCACCCAGACUGCGUUCAGGCAAGGCAAUGAUCAUGUUUUCUGUUACAUAUGCUUUUAUAACUCUUUGGUAGAUAGCUAUUCAUUUUGAAACACCAGUUGUGAGUAUUUAAAUCAAGUCUCCAGAAACAUGGCUCUAAAUCUGUGGAAGAACUGGGCAGAAUAGUUCUGUAUUUCAGCUGCUCUGGUAGAAAAGUAACAUAUGUAAACAUCACUAAUGAAGCAGUGUGACACCUGCAGUUUGCAUGUAAGAACUUAGCAACAGCAGUCUUAUAGUGCCCAUAUUGUUAUGGACUGCAUUAGAACUGCAUUUUUUGGAAGAACUUGAUUAGAAACCAGCAGGGCUGUAUGUCUGCCAAGUAUCAGCAGACGAGGUCUUGUGAUGGGUUACCGUUAGUUUUAUUCAUGCAGGAUGUGGUACUGCUGAUUCAGCCUACCAAGAACGGUCUGGGGAGCACAGAAAUAAACAGAGUGACAUGUAUUACUUGUACUGGCUGACCUAGGUUGAUAUGUACUUCCCAAUAUCAACACUAUAGACAUCUUUGUUGUUAUAUACAUAUAUUUUAAUCUCUGACAGCAUAGCAUUAUCAGUGUGAUAGGUGCACACAAGAAUGUCAGCCAGUAAUUUCAGGAGAGGUUCAACCAGUGACCAAUUUUCCACUUACCCCACAGCUCAAUGCAGUUCAGCAUUGGAUAAUCUAUGUUACUGUUAUCUCUCUUAUAUAAAGAGAUUGAGCAAAUUGGUUUGUAAUCACUGAAGGACAAUACAGUGAGUUAAUGAUGGAGAGCAAGAACUGUACUGUAAAUAAAUUAAUUGGUCCAAAAUCUCUAAGAUCUUUACUCUGUUUUUCUUAGCACUUGUUAAAGAGAUAAAAGGCAAAGUAGCUACAGUUUUUGCAUUCUGUACGAGAUGAAAAUGUAGUGUUUUUAUAGUGCCUUUGCAGGAUGAUGUUGUUGUAGUUCAAUAUUGUCUGUACCUUUGGACACUAAAUUUCUCUCCCAAGCUUCUGACCUGUCUUUGUGCUUCUGACAGGGAAAAUUCCUACAGUCAUCAUCUUUAUAAAAUCCCUGAGUUAAGAACUUUUUCAGCAAUAUUUUUCCUCCAUAAGUCUAACUGGAAUUUAACACUACUAUAAAUUCCAUGAGUCACAGAGAAUGGCAAAAAUGGUAGUAAGAGAGAAUCAAUUAUUAAAGAAAGCAUAAAGAUUUAUCUACAGCAUCUGAGAGAAGGAGUUAGAAACAAGAAAGUCCUAUGGUAAUAUUUUUUUGAGUUUCAUUUCUUCACUCUAUAAAUUAAAUCCCAUUUGUCCCAGGGCCCUUCUCCAGUGUGUCUGGGUGAGGCAAUGCAACCCCUUGCUGCUUGCUCAGACUGCCCUAAAUCUGAUUUUGCUGGGUUUCUUUCUGCCUGUUUUGUUCCAAAAUUCUGAAUCUAUUCUGGAACACCUCAGUAAGCCUGGUUCAACUUACACUUCUUAAGAUAGAGAUAAAAUGUCAGCAUUGAAUUUGGAAUAUUUGAUCACUAGCACUUAAGCAAGAGCCACUGUUCAUUUAAGUAAAGGGAAGUAAAAUCUUGCAGGAUUGCAUUAGCAUUUCUUCUGCAGUGCAGAAAGCCUGACUGUAUAUGCAUAUAAAGUGUGGAAAAUACUAGUGAAAAUCUUCAGAUUCUCCCACAUUUUUUCAGCUUCUAAUACAAGCCUGCAGAGACAGCUGCUGUAAUUUUGAAUUCCUUUGGAAGAUGUGCCAUUCCAGUUAAAUAUCAGGUGAUACCCACUGCUAAUUAUGCAGGGGUGUAGGAAUCAAGAUGUAGCUCUCUAUUCUGCACCUGCUGUUGGAAGGACUGCUCUCUAUGUCAAGCUGGACUUGAGGACUCAAGCUGGUGAAUACACAAAAAACAUGCAGUCUGUAACCGUGGCAGUUUUGCACCGAGAAGUCAUGGGGAUGGCUGGGUCAGAGGACAUAAAGUACCUGUAAAGUCAAAAGGAAAGUGAAACGUGAGAUGGAGCAAUGAGCACUGAAAACAAUUGAUCACAUCUUUGCUACAGAAGAGGGAUAAGAGCAAAUGAAAACUGGUGAGCUCGGUGACUUGGUGUAGGAGAGGGAGAGGUAGGCUGCCCAUACUGGGAUAUAUAAACAUUAUUUGUUCCAUACAAUAUUGUUGGUUUGAUACUGUGGGAACUUGGUUGGGUUCCUAUGAAUGUUUCUUGUUUUAGAACAAAUAACAAAGCCAUUCACCCUGAUCUUUUGC